ACGGGGCCCGCACAAGCGGUGGAGCAUGUUGGUUUAAUUCGAAGCAACGCGAAGAACCUUACCAGGUUCUUGACAUCCGAUGCUUAUUUCUAGAGAUAGAAAGUUACUUCGGUACAUCGGUGACAGGUGGUGCAUGGUUGUCGUCAGCUCGUGUCGUGAGAUGUUGGGUUAAGUCCCGCAACGAGCGCAACCCUUAUCGUUAGUUGCUACCAUUAAGUUGAGCACUCUAGCGAGACUGCCCGGGUUAGCCGGGAGGAAGGUGGGGAUGACGUCAAAUCAUCAUGCCCCUUAUGUCUAGGGCUACACACGUGCUACAAUGGUGAGGACAAAGAGACGCAAGACCGCGAGGUGGAGCAAAUCUCACAAACCUCAUCCCAGUUCGGAUUGCAGGCUGAAACUCGCCUGCAUGAAGCCGGAGUUGCUAGUAAUCGCGAAUCAGCAUGUCGCGGUGAAUACGUUCCCGGGCCUU
rnacentral:rRNA from 1 species